AGGGCGUAUGGGGAAUGCCUAGGCACACUCCGGCGAAGAAGGACGCAGCAAACAGCGAAAUGCGACGGUGAGCGGUAAGCACGUGAAGAGCCGUCGAUAUCCGAAUGGGGGAACCCACACGGAGUCAUAUCCGUGUAUCACAUGUCGAAUACAUAGACAUGAUGAGGCGAGACGCAGGGAACUGAAACAUCUAAGUACCUGCAGGAAGAGAAAAUAAGAAUGAUUUUCUGAGUAGCGGCGAGCGAAAGGGAAAGAGCCCAAACCGAUCUGAGGAUCGGGGUAGUAGGAUCAUCGAUAAAUCAAACAGAGGAUCAUAGAGGAAUCACAUGGGAAGGUGAGCGAGAGAGGGUGAGAGCCCCGUACUCGAAAUGAGAGACUGGAGAGAGAUGACACCUGAGUAGGGCGGGACACGAGAAAUCCUGUCUGAAUCAGCCGGGACCAUCCGGCAAGGCUAAAUACGAGAGAGUGACCGAUAGUGAACCAGUACCGUGAGGGAAAGGUGAAAAGAACCCCGGGAGGGGAGUGAAAGAGAACCUGAAACCAUAUGCCUACAAGAAGUCAGAGCCCGUUAAAGGGUGAUGGCGUGCCUUUUGUAGAAUGAACCGGCGAGUUACUGUAUGGAGCGAGGUUAAGCAGGAUAUGCGGAGCCGAAGCGAAAGCGAGUCUUAAGAGGGCGCGAGUUGCAUGCAGUAGACCCGAAACCGGGUGAUCUAGCCAUGACCAGGUUGAAGUUGGGGUAAAACCCGAUGGAGGACCGAACCGACCCCCGUUGAAACGUUGGCGGAUGAGUUGUGGCUAGGGGUGAAAUUCCAAUCGAACCCGGAGAUAGCUGGUUCUCCCCGAAAUAGCUUUAGGGCUAGCGUCGAGAGAAGAGUUGCGUGAAGGUAGAGCACUGAAUAUGUGAUGGCCCCAUCUCGGGGUACUGAGCAUAAUCAAACUGCGAAUGUCACGCCAACAUGCUCGGCAGUCAGACAGCGGGUGAUAAGGUCCGUUGUCAAGAGGGAAACAGCCCAGACCAUCAGCUAAGGUCCCAAAAUGUAUGCUAAGUGGAAAAGGAUGUGGAGAUGUACAGACAACUAGGAGGUUGGCUCAGAAGCAGCCAUCCUUUAAAGAGUGCGUAACAGCUCACUAGUCGAAUGACUCUGCGCCGAUAAUUUACCGGGGCUAAGCAUACUACCGAAGCUAUGGAUCCCAAGGGAUGGUAGGGGAGCGUUCCAUGAACGGAGAAGUACGACCGAAAGGACGUGUGGAGAUCAUGGAAGAGAGAAUGCCGGUGUGAGUAGCGGAACGUGGGUGAGAAUCCCACGCACCGAAAACCCAAGGUUUCCAGAGGAAGGUUCGUCCGCUCUGGGUAAGUCGGGACCUAAGGCGAGGCCGAAAGGCGUAGUCGAUGGACAACAGGUAGAGAUUCCUGUACCCGUAUAUAUGUGAAGGAAUGACGGAGAGAGGAAGCUGCAGCCAGCGGCUGGAAGAGCUGGUGCAAGCGAGAUAUCGGGAUGGCAGGCAAAUCCACCAUCCGAAACGAGAAGGCGUGAAGCGUACGGAAAGCUACGGCGAGUACGGAAGGCAGUGGAGGAACUUCCAAGAAAAGUUUCUAACGUUAAGUAUAUAUGGCCCGUACCGAAAAUGGACACACAUGGGUGAGGAGAGAAUCCUAAGGUGAGCGAGAGAACUAUAGCUAAGGAACUCUGCAAAAUGACUCCGUAACUUAGGGAGAAGGAGUGCUCAUAGAGAUAUGAGCCGCAGUGAAACGGCCCAAGCGACUGUUUACCAAAAACACAGCUCUCUGCUAAGCCGCAAGGCGAAGUAUAGGGGGUGACGCCUGCCCGGUGCUGGAAGGUUAAGGGGAGGGGUUAACGCAAGUGAAGCCCUGAACUGAAGCCCCAGUAAACGGCGGCCGUAACUAUAACGGUCCUAAGGUAGCGAAAUUCCUUGUCAGGUAAGUUCUGACCCGCACGAAAGGCGUAACGAUUUGGGCGCUGUCUCAGCUGUAGACUCGGUGAAGUCUUAGUACCUGUGAAGAUGCAGGUUACCCGCGACUAGACGGAAAGACCCCAUGGAGCUUCACUGCAGGUUGAUAUUGGGAUUUGAUGCAGCAUGUACAGGAUAGGUAGGAGGCAAAGAGAUGGAUACGCCAGUAUUCAAGGAGCCGCUGUUGGGAUACUACCCCUGUUGUAUUGGAUUUCUAACCGGACGACGUAGAGCCGUUGACGGGACAGUGUCAGUCGGGCAGUUUGACUGGGGCGGUCGCCUCCCAAAGAGUAACGGAGGCGCCCAAAGAUACCCUCAGCUUGGAUGGAAACCAAGCGCAGAGUGCAAAGGCAAAAGGGUGUUUGACUGCGAGACCCACAAGUCGAGCAGGGACGAAAGUCGGGCUUAGUGAUCCGGCGGUGCUGAAUGGAAAGGCCGUCGCUCAACGGAUAAAAGCUACCCUGGGGAUAACAGGCUGAUCUCCCCCAAGAGUUCACAUCGACGGGGAGGUUUGGCACCUCGAUGUCGGCUCAUCGCAUCCUGGAGCUGAAGUCGGUUCCAAGGGUUGGGCUGUUCGCCCAUUAAAGCGGUACGCGAGCUGGGUUCAGAACGU
rnacentral:rRNA from 1 species